rnacentral:misc_RNA from 1 species
GAUGAAGAACGUAGCGAAACGCGAUAAGUAAUGUGAAUUGCAGAAUCCAGUGAAUCAUCGAAUCUUUGAACGCACAUUGCGCCCGCCAGCAUUCUGGCGGGCAUGCCUGUUCGAGCGUCAUUUCAACCCUCGACCUCCCCUUGGGGAGGUCGGCGUUGGGGACCGGCAGCACACCGCCGGCCCUGAAAUGGAGUGGCGGCCCGUCCGCGGCGACCUCUGCGCAGUAAUACAGCUCGCACUGGGACCCCGACGCGGCCACGCCGUAAAACACCCAACUUCUGAACGUUGACCUCGAAUCAGGUAGGACUACCCGCUGAACUUAAGCAUAUCAAUAAGCGGAGGA